AACGUAGGGGGCAAGCGUUGUCCGGAUUUAUUGGGCGUAAAGAGCGUGUAGGCGGCCAGGUAGGUCAGCUGUGAAAACUCGAGGCUCAACCUCGAGACGCCGGUUGAAACCAUCUGGCUAGAGUCCGGAAGAGGAGAGUGGAAUUCCUGGUGUAGCGGUGAAAUGCGCAGAUAUCAGGAAGAACACCCGUGGCUAAGGCGGCUCUCUAGUACGGUACUGACGCUGAGACGCGAAAGCGUGGGGAGCGAACAGG
rnacentral:rRNA from 1 species